CUUGUCACUUGUCACCAGGGAGGAUGAGGCUGUUGGGACUUCUUUGGAUGUCAAUAUGGGAUUACUGUCUUCUUAAGACAUCCCAUCCAUCUCACUGCUUUUGCUUGCCGCAGGUGAACCCCCUGCACAUUGAGGGAGCAUGAGGUAAUAAGAACGACAAGCUGUAGGACGUAAGCAAAGGUUGGAGGUUAAUGUCUUUGGCAGAUGAGCUCUCAACAAGCUGUGACCCGUAUUGUCAGUAAUAGUAUCACAGAAAAGCAAGAAGAGGCUUUUAGGGGUUGUGCCGAUCAACCACAAAUUGUGCCACCAUGGUAUGUAAACAAUUUUAUCUGUUGUCCAGUCAAGGCAAUUAUGUGAACACUUGACUACUGGAUGAUAAAUGCCAAUAUUUUUGGAUGGUUGUAAUGCAAGAGUGUUUGCAGAACUCAUUCUGAGGCUUCUGAAAAAACACUGGUUUGGUAUUUUAGAGCAAGACUUUUACUUUCCUAGUAGUCACUAUAAUUAGAUCAAACACUCUAGAACCAAUAGCGGGAAUGUCUAAUUGACAUUUCUCACCCUUUUUGGUUAGGAAUCACCUCAUAUUUCAAAGCUUGCAGAACAUAAACAGAGCCAUACCCUGCUCCUGCUAUAUUUAGAAAACUCAAACCACCACUGUUAUGUAAUAUGGAAUGUAUGCGACCAAAAUAAGAAGCUUGGGGCUUCUUUUCAGUGUGAGCUAUUUGCUGCUGCAGAUCAGUGACCUUUGAGGGGGAAACCUGCCUGAAAGCUGAAGAGCUACAGAUGGGCUUAACCCAGAUGAUCAUAUGACAGACAUGAAGUGAGGAAUGGGGAUGUUUGCUAGAUUAAUGAUCAUUCCAAUUUUAUAAGGAGGAGUGUUGAUGGCUUUCAGAUGAAAAGACACAUUGUGAGGUAAAUUUAUCCACUGAACAUCUGAAAGACAUAAUGUAUUUUUGUGGGAUUAAUGCACAUAAGCUGAAAAAAAUAAAGCAAAGAAAGCAAACAAUCAAUCAUUUAGUUUUUCAAGGUAUAUUCGUUCAAGCAUUCUUAAUAACUUCAGGGUCAUUGAUGUCUCUGAGCUUUCGAAGUUCUCUGCCUCUUCAUGUAACCCCAGACUGACUGAUUGACUGAUGUUCAGACUGAGGUUUUUCAGGGUACAUAUCUGUUGCAGAUACUUUUGGUCGCCGAAGAUAGAAUUUAUGACUGCCUGUAUGCUUAAGCUCACUUUCUUGCAGCAGUUUUGAACAUACCUCAUCUGCACUGCAACGUAUCCCAACUGGAAUUUGAGACAUUCCUUUAACCUUUUCAGUAACUGUUGCAAUAAGAUAAAACGUAUAAAUCAAUGUUAAACCUAUGAAUACCUGAUGUUCAGUGGCCCUGAAUGACACUCAUGUACACAAGCCCAUCAGUCAUGCCUACGACAGUGACGACAGCAGCGUCGACCAACAACACAUCUCCCAAAUUCCCCCUUAACCUUGGAUUCAAGAUGCUUCCUCUGACGUCAAGUUGGUAUAAAAGCUCUUUUUUUUUGAGAGGCAAACUCAUUAAAACAAUGUUAAUUCUUGAGUUUAGUGUCUAUGUAACCGGGGAGACUCUCUAAUAGUCAAUGAGAGUCAUAAAUCCAUCCAAAUGUUGCCUCCAUUGUUGUUAGGCAUGCUUGGAGUGAGACAAAAAAGGUCACAUCACAUGUGGACCAAUUGGUAUGAGGAGUUCUCAGAGAUGGAAGAAAAAAAAAAUCCAAGGAAGGAAAAAUGUGGGAAGAAGUUUUAAACACACAUUUUAAGAUAGGUGGAAAAGUUUAGUCCAAAACUCAAACAAAAGAAACCUCCAAUCAUUCUAUGGCUGCUUUUGUUAGCGUAAUUAACAUUUAACAUGGUUUUCUGGGCUUUGAAGAAACUUUAUAAUAGCUUAACAUAAAGCUUCCUGUAAAAUUCUCAGAUUCUCUGUUUGGACAUGUUUUUUUUUUCCCCAGUCGCCAAUGUUUGAAAGCAUUUGGGUUCAAAGCCAUUCACUUGAUGCCAUAUGACAGCAGAGAAGAGGAGGUGUUGUCGUUUGUGUCCUGCCCCCUCCAAAAGCUGGAGGUAUGACAUCAACAGCAAUAAUGAAAGCAGCUCAUCAACAACUGGAUACCGGGGCUAUAAAAGGAGCUUGUGGAGUCCAGUGCUUAUCAUAACUAAUAGGAGCUAACCACCAAACCAGACUGGCUGACUUAAGAGACUAUAGCACCAUAUUUUAUCUUUCAUCACACUGAGGAGAAGGAGGCAACUCCACCACAGGUUGUAAAGGUCAACAUGCAAAACAUGGACUUUAAAGUUCUUGUAAUCUUCUUCUGUGUUGUACACCUUUCCAUUUACUGCCAAGGGCGUCCUCUCAGUAAAAGGACAGUGAGCGAAGUGCAGCUCAUGCACAACCUGAGACACCACCAGCAGGUGCAGGAGCGCCGCGAGUGGCUGCAAACCAGGAUCCAAGACAUCCACAAUGCUGCGGGCCGGCCCAGCAGUGG